rnacentral:rRNA from 1 species
UGGGGAAUUUUGGACAAUGGGCGCAAGCCUGAUCCAGCAAUGCCGCGUGCAGGAUGAAGGCCUUCGGGUUGUAAACUGCUUUUGUACGGAACGAAAAGCCUCUCUCUAAUACAGGGGGGUGAUGACGGUACCGUAAGAAUAAGCACCGGCUAACUACGUGCCCGCAGCCGCGGUAAUACGUAGGGUGCGAGCGUUAAUCGGAAUUACUGGGCGUAAAGCGUGCGCAGGCGGUUUUGUAAGACAGUGGUGAAAUCCCCGGGCUCAACCUGGGAACUGCCAUUGUGACUGCAAGGCUGGAGUGCGGCAGAGGGGGAUGGAAUUCCGCGUGUAGCAGUGAAAUGCGUAGAUAUGCGGAGGAACACCGAUGGCGAAGGCCAAUCCCCUGGGCCUGCACUGACGCUCAUGCACGAAAGCGUGGGGAGCAAACAGGAUUAGAUACCCUGGUAGUCC